rnacentral:rRNA from 1 species
UAGGGAAUCUUCCACAAUGGGCGCAAGCCUGAUGGAGCAACGCCGCGUGAGUGAAGAAGGUCUUCGGAUCGUAAAACUCUGUUGUUAGAGAAGAACGUGUGUGAGAGUGGAAAGUUCACACAGUGACGGUAACUUACCAGAAAGGGACGGCUAACUACGUGUCAG